AGAGUUUGAUCCUGGCUCAGGACGAACGUUGGCGGCGUGCUUAACACAUGCAAGUCAAGGGGAAAGGUUGUCUUCGGACGGCCGAGUAUACUGGCGAACGGGUGAGUAACGCGUAGGUAACUUGCCUAUCAGUCUGGGAUAACACUGCUAACGCGGUGCUAAUACCGGGUAUACUGCGUAGCUCGCAUGUUUUUUGCAGGAAAGCGGGCCUCUGGAACAAGCUCGUGCUGAUAGAUAGACCUGCGUCCCACUAGUUAGUUGGUAGGGUAACGGCCUACCAAGGCAGCGAUGGGUAGCCGGCCUGAGAGGGUGACCGGCCACACUGGGACUGAGAUACGGCCCAGACUCCUACGGGAGGCAGCAGUGAGGAAUAUUGCGCAAUGGACGAAAGUCUGACGCAGCAACGCCGCGUGAGGGAUGAAGCUUUUCGGAGUGUAAACCUCUGUUAGGAGGGAAGAACGUCUAUUAUUCGAACAGGGUGAUAGAGUGACGGUACCUCCAGAGAAAGCCCCGGCUAACUCCGUGCCAGCAGCCGCGGUAAUACGGGGGGGGCGAACGUUGUCCGGAAUUAUUGGGCGUAAAGGGCGCGUAGGCGGGAAGGUCAGUCAGAGGUGAAAGCUUGUGGCUUAACUGCAAGUUUGCCUUUGAUACUGCCAUUCUUGAGUUCGGAAGAGGGAAGUGGAAUUCCUGGUGUAGCGGUGAAAUGCGUAGAUAUCAGGAAGAACACCGGUGGCGAAGGCGGCUUCCUGGUCCGAUACUGACGCUGAUGCGCGAAAGCGUGGGGAGCAAACAGGAUUAGA
rnacentral:rRNA from 1 species